rnacentral:rRNA from 1 species
UAGUUGGUAAGGUAACGGCUUACCAAGGCGACGAUCAGUAGCCGACCUGAGAGGGUGAUCGGCCACAUUGGAACUGAGACACGGUCCAAACUCCUACGGGAGGCAGCAGUGGGGAAUAUUGCACAAUGGGCGAAAGCCUGAUGCAGCAACGCCGCGUGAGUGAUGAAGGCCUUCGGGUCGUAAAACUCUGUCCUCAAGGAAGAUAAUGACGGUACUUGAGGAGGAAGCCCCGGCUAACUACGUGCCAGCAGCCGCGGUAAUACGUAGGGGGCUAGCGUUAUCCGGAUUUACUGGGCGUAAAGGGGGCGUAGGCGGUCUUUCAAGUCAGGAGUGAAAGGCUACGGCUCAACCGUAGUAAGCUCUUGAAACUGGGAGACUUGAGUGCAGGAGAGGAGAGUGGAAUUCCUAGUGUAG